rnacentral:rRNA from 1 species
AUAUUCUGUAGCAAGGUUAACCGAAUAGGGGAGCCGAAGGGAAACCGAGUCUUAACCGGGCGUUAAGUUGCAGGGUAUAGACCCGAAACCCGGUGAUCUAGCCAUGGGCAGGUUGAAGGUUGGGUAACACUAACUGGAGGACCGAACCGACUAAUGUUGAAAAAUUAGCGGAUGACUUGUGGCUGGGGGUGAAAGGCCAAUCAAACCGGGAGAUAGCUGGUUCUCCCCGAAAGCUAUUUAGGUAGCGCCUCGUGAAUUCAUCUCCGGGGGUAGAGCACUGUUUCGGCAAGGGGGUCAUCCCGACUUACCAACCCGAUGCAAACUGCGAAUACCGGAGAAUGUUAUCACGGGAGACACACGGCGGGUGCUAACGUCCGUCGUGAAGAGGGAAACAACCCAGACCGCCAGCUAAGGUCCCAAAGUCAUGGUUAAGUGGGAAACGAUGUGGGAAGGCCCAGACAGCCAGGAUGUUGGCUUAGAAGCAGCCAUCAUUUAAAGAAAGCGUAAUAGCUCACUGGUCGAGUCGGCCUGCGCGGAAGAUGUAACGGGGCUAAACCAUGCACCGAAGCUGCGGCAGCGACACUGUGUGUUGUUGGGUAGGGGAGCGUUCUGUAAGCCUGUGAAGGUGUGCUGUGAGGCAUGCUGGAGGUAUCAGAAGUGCGAAUGCUGACAUAAGUAACGAUAAAGCGGGUGAAAAGCCCGCUCGCCGGAAGACCAAGGGUUCCUGUCCAACGUUAAUCGGGGCAGGGUGAGUCGACCCCUAAGGCGAGGCCGAAAGGCGUAGUCGAUGGGAAACAGGUUAAUAUUCCUGUACUUGGUGUUACUGCGAAGGGGGGACGGAGAAGGCUAUGUUGGCCGGGCGACGGUUGUCCCGGUUUAAGCGUGUAGGCUGGUUUUCCAGGCAAAUCCGGAAAAUCAAGGCUGAGGCGUGAUGACGAGGCACUACGGUGCUGAAGCAACAAAUGCCCUGCUUCCAGGAAAAGCCUCUAAGCAUCAGGUAACAUCAAAUCGUACCCCAAACCGACACAGGUGGUCAGGUAGAGAAUACCAAGGCGCUUGAGAGAACUCGGGUGAAGGAACUAGGCAAAAUGGUGCCGUAACUUCGGGAGAAGGCACGCUGAUAUGUAGGUGAAGUCCCUCGCGGAUGGAGCUGAAAUCAGUCGAAGAUACCAGCUGGCUGCAACUGUUUAUUAAAAACACAGCACUGUGCAAACACGAAAGUGGACGUAUACGGUGUGACGCCUGCCCGGUGCCGGAAGGUUAAUUGAUGGGGUCAGCGCAAGCGAAGCUCUUGAUCGAAGCCCCGGUAAACGGCGGCCGUAACUAUAACGGUCCUAAGGUAGCGAAAUUCCUUGUCGGGUAAGUUCCGACCUGCACGAAUGGCGUAAUGAUGGCCAGGCUGUCUCCACCCGAGACUCAGUGAAAUUGAACUCGCUGUGAAGAUGCAGUGUACCCGCGGCAAGACGGAAAGACCCCGUGAACCUUUACUAUAGCUUGACACUGAACAUUGAGCCUUGAUGUGUAGGAUAGGUGGGAGGCUUUGAAGUGUGGACGCCAGUCUGCAUGGAGCCGACCUUGAAAUACCACCCUUUAAUGUUUGAUGUUCUAACGUGGACCCGUGAUCCGGGUUGCGGACAGUGUCUGGUGGGUAGUUUGACUGGGGCGGUCUCCUCCUAAAGAGUAACGGAGGAGCACGAAGGUUGGCUAAUCCUGGUCGGACAUCAGGAGGUUAGUGCAAUGGCAUAAGCCAGCUUGACUGCGAGCGUGACGGCGCGAGCAGGUGCGAAAGCAGGUCAUAGUGAUCCGGUGGUUCUGAAUGGAAGGGCCAUCGCUCAACGGAUAAAAGGUACUCCGGGGAUAACAGGCUGAUACCGCCCAAGAGUUCAUAUCGACGGCGGUGUUUGGCACCUCGAUGUCGGCUCAUCACAUCCUGGGGCUGAAGUAGGUCCCAAGGGUAUGGCUGUUCGCCAUUUAAAGUGGUACGCGAGCUGGGUUUAGAACGUCGUGAGACAGUUCGGUCCCUAUCUGCCGUGGGCGCUGGAGAACUGAGGGGGGCUGCUCCUAGUACGAGAGGACCGGAGUGGACGCAUCACUGGUGUUCGGGUUGUCAUGCCAAUGGCACUGCCCGGUAGCUAAAUGCGGAAGAGAUAAGUGCUGAAAGCAUCUAAGCACGAAACUUGCCCCGAGAUGAGUUCUCCCUGACCCUUUAAGGGUCCUGAAGGAACGUUGAAGACGACGACGUUGAUAGGCCGGGUGUGUAAGCGCAGCGAUGCGUUGAGCUAACCGGUACUAAUGAACCGUGAGGCUUAACCUUACAACGCCGAAGGUGUUU